UUUCAUACUAAUCUAAAAUCAAACAAAAUCAUUACAAUUAUUAAAUUAAUUGCUUGUUAGUGAUAAAAAAUAAUUGGGUUUUAUUUGGCAUAACAUAUAAAAUUAAUUUAAGAAAUUUUCUUUGCUUUUAUUUUAGUAUGAAAGACUCGAAAUCAUAUAAUUAAAAAAAUUGGGUUUCAUAUACAAUUAUCAAAAUGAUUUAUUUGUGUAACAGCCCAAUUUUUAGUAGUGUCGAAUAGUGAUUGGAGAUCAUUAAAUCCGAUGAAAAGUUAGAAAAAUUUAUUAAUUAAUAAUUAUAAGUUAAGCGUGAUUUUAGAAAUAUUUUUGAAUUAGUGAAUUAUCGGGUCUCCGUCUUGGUAAAACGGACUCAUAAAAUAAUUAUUAAAAAUAUUUAUAGAAUUAGUUAUAUCACCAAUUGGAUUUUAGUUAAGUGAAUUUAGUUAAAUUAAAGUUAAUUGAGUAUUAGGACUAAAUUGAAUUAAGUGUGAAAGUUAAUUAUAAAAUAGAAAAAGGUGAAAGGACUAAACUAAUAAUUAAACCACAAAAAGUGACAAGUGUGUGGUAAUUAUAAAUACAUGUGUAAUAAAUAUAUGUAUACAUUUGUAAUUAAUAUAUGUCCAUACUUAUUAAUUAAGUAAAAGAUAUUUAUUUAUUAUAUUAUUAAUUAAAUAAAAGAAAUAAAAGAUAGAAAAAGAGAAUAGAAACAGAAUAGCAAAACGAAAACAGGGGAGAAAGGAAAGAAGAAGAAGAAGAAGGGAAGGAAAGGAAGAAAAUUUGGGAUUUCAAGGUUCAAGGUUUGAUUGCUAGCGUCGUAUUGGAAUUCUCGACUAAAAAGGGGAAAAAUAUAGUCGACAUCGAAUAGCUCGGAAUUCUUGAAAUACAAUUUGGGGCUAAAAAGAAGAAAAAGGAAACAAUUGGGCUAGAUUGAAGAAAGAAGCAAAGAAGGAGGACCAAAACAGAAUUUUUCCAGGAUUAAGUAGCUGAAAUUUUUGUUCACUUAUUAGGGAGAUUAUGUUGGGAUUUUUUGUAUAUCAUGGAAUAUUUUCCUUAAUUUUCUAUGACUAGUUGGCUCCUAAUUUAGUAAAGCCACUAGUAUAAAUAGAGGCUAUAUUGUUUAUCAAUUCAUCAAUUCAUAAAUCAAGCUUUCAAUUAAGUCUUUCA